ACUUGUGUAAGAAAAUAUUCCCAGACCUGGUGCGCUGUCGUUUGGCCCUUUCUGUUCCAGGGGAUGUCCUCACAUGUGCGAAGUCGCCUACUUUUUGGCCCUCUGAUCAGCAGAAAUCCGCGCUGACUCAUUACACGGCUGCCCGGAGCCGUUGCGGUCCGUUGCUCUUCCGUUUACACGGGAAUAUAAUUAGCCGCCAGGAGGCCAUGGAAACUUAAUUUUUAAGCUUAACUUUUGGCCCAAGUGAAUAACAUUUGUUCUGGCUGAAGGCUGAAGAAGUUCGUCGGCGCAUCGUGUGGAACUUUUAUGGGCUCUUCCGCUUGAAAUUCAAUUAAUUACGCGGCUCCCUGGAUGGUGGCUACACGGGCGGGGGAAGUAAACGGAAGUUUCGGCACGUGAUAAAUUAAUUAAAGC